CCCUUAGAUGUUCUGGGCCGCACGCGCGCUACACUGAUGCAUUCAACGAGUCUAAAACCUGCUCUGAUAGGGGUGGGUAAUCUUUUGAAUGUGCAUCGUGAUUGGGAUAGAUGAUUGCAAUUUUUCAUCUUCAACGAGGAAUGCCUAGUAAACGCAAGUCAUCAGCUUGCAUUGAUUACGUCCCUGCCCUUUGUACACACCGCCCGUCGCUCCUACCGAUUGAAUGAUCCGAUGAAUAUCAUGGAUUGAGGAUGCAAGUAGGUUAGCCUAUCUUCAUCUUCGAGAAGGGAAGUAAAUCUUAUCAUUUAGAGGAAGGAGAAGUCGUAACA
rnacentral:rRNA from 1 species